rnacentral:rRNA from 1 species
UACGUAGGGGGCAAGCGUUGUCCGGAUUUAUUGGGCGUAAAGAGCGUGUAGGCGGCUUGGUAGGUCCGCUGUGAAAACUCGAGGCUCAACCUCGAGCUGUCGGCGGAAACCACUUGGCUAGAGUCCGGAAGAGGAGAGUGGAAUUCCUGGUGUAGCGGUGAAAUGCGCAGAUAUCAGGAAGAACACCUAUGGCGAAGGCAGCUCUCUGGGACGGUACUGACGCUGAGACGCGAAAGCGUGGGGAGCGAACAGG